GAAGCAGAGUCGUUCACGAGGCUCUAAAUAUACUGUAUUUUUCACACUGUAAAUUUGGUCAAACAGCAGGAAUUGCUGAAGGAGAAACAACUGACACACUAUAGUAAAGAUGGAGAUUAAGGAGGAACCCUGCGGAAUAAAAGAUGAAGAAACAGAGGAAC
ensembl:processed_transcript